rnacentral:rRNA from 1 species
UACGUAGGGGGCUAGCGUUGUCCGGAAUCAUUGGGCGUAAAGCGCGCGUAGGUGGCUUCGUAAGUCCGUUGUGAAAGUCAAAGGCUCAACCUUUGAAAGCCGAUGGAUACUGUGAAGCUAGAGUACGGAAGAGGCGAGUGGAAUUCCUGGUGUAGCGGUGGAAUGCGCAGAUAUCAGGAGGAACACCGGUGGCGAAGGCGGUUCUCUGGGCCUGUACUGACGCUGAGGAACGAAAGCGUGGGGAGCGAACGGG